rnacentral:rRNA from 1 species
UACGUAGGGUGCAAGCGUUGUCCGGAAUUAUUGGGCGUAAAGAGCUCGUAGGCGGUUUGUUAAGUCCGCUGUGAAAGCCCUGGGCUCAACCUGGGAAUUGCAGUGGAUACUGGCAAGCUAGAGUGCGGUAGAGGAUGGUGGAAUUCCCGGUGUAGCGGUGAAAUGCGUAGAGAUCGGGAGGAACACCCGUGGCGAAGGCGGCCAUCUGGACCAGCACUGACGCUGAGGCACGAAAGCGUGGGGAGCAAACAGG